AACGAACGCUGGCGGCAUGCCUAACACAUGCAAGUCGAACGAGACCUCCCGUUCUAGUGUCCCCCGGGUGCGUAACGCGUGGUAACCUGCCCUUAGCUUCGGCAUAACUUCGCGAUAGGGGUGCUAAUACCGUAUAAUUUCUUCGUAUCAAAGAGUUGUCGCCUUUGGAUGGGGCCGCGUUGGAUUGGCUAGUUGUUAGGGUAAAAGCUUACCAAGGCGAGGUUCCAUAGCUGGUCUGAGAGGAUGAUCAGCUACACUGGGACAAAGACACGGCCCAGACGCGUAGGGGAGGCAGCGGUGGGGAAUAUUGGAGAAUGGGCGAAAGACUGAUCCAGCAAUGGCGCGAGAAUGAUGAAGGCCUUAGAGUUGUAUAGCUCUUUUAACCGGGAUUAUUAUGACAGUACCGGGAGAAUAAGCACCGGCUAACUACGUG
rnacentral:rRNA from 1 species